CCAGCUUCCAGCCACCAGGGGGAGCUCACGCUCUUUAGACUGGUUCACUCCACAGCUUCAGGACGGGUAGAAGGUCCGGUUCCCCUCACAACAGGAAGGUUGUGAUGAAAGAAAUGAUGAAGGUGACUGGAAUCUCAGGAACCAGAACCCAGUUCAGCCAAUUUAGCCAGCCUGAUGGUUUCCUGACUGAGUCUGAGCUGGAAGCAGGAAAUGAAGAUUUUGUGUGACAGCAGAGUAAAGUUCUGGUUUUGGUUCUGGUAACUGGGAUCCAUUUCCCAUAUUUUUCUGCCCAGUAAAGCUCUGGGAACGGUGGACCUGGGCCUGAUGUCUGGCCCAGUUCUGGUCCAGACGAACGUUUCAGGAACUGAAGGUUCCUCCAGAGUUUUAAUUUCAGCUCAGAGUAGGAACCUUUUUUGUGUGUGUGUUUUUGGUACGGCAUAUAUCUGACGCUACAUCUGCUAACAGUCACCAUGGAGACGCUUCUCGGUUAAUUUCUACUUCUGAACGAUCUGAUGGGAAAAGACGUGGUUGUGCUAAAAGCCUGUCAGCAAAGCUAUACUAGCCUGAAAUAGCAUCUCAAUGCUAACAUUUAGCAGCUAAUGCUAAUGUUAGCGUCCACAGUCACAUUUCUACAGAAGCUCUUUGGAAAGAAUAAAAACAGUAAAUGUCAGUUGAAUUGAAUCUGCUGCUGAUUUUUUGGAUAUUUUGACUAAAAUGUGAUCAAUUAUCUUCUGAUAUCUAAAUAUGGAUCCAUUCUGCUGGCUGACCUUCCCAGCAGACAUUGCUGCUGUCCUGAGGAACGCCUUGACGUCGUUCUGCACAAGGACGCCGCCUCUGACUGAAGCUUUUCAUCUGCAUAAUGGACGACCUUCAGCAGGACGACCUUCAGCAGCAAACACACGGUGAAGGCAGGCGGUUCUGGCUGAUGAACAGACUGUGACAUCAUCAGGCUGGCAGCCAAUCAGACGCUACCUCCCUGACAGGUCAGCUGAUCCUGGACAGGAAGUCAGACACGGUUUGGUAACAUACUGAGUGUCUGGAUGCUUCAGAGAACCCCAGA